GUGUUGCCCUGGGCUCUGUCACAGGAGGCUCCUGUGCCCCCAGCAGCAAGUCGGAGAGACCAGCAGGCCCCUGGGGCAGGGCUCCCUGUCACCUACUUCUGAAAACCCUGGAGUGUCCUCAGGGAUGAAAAAUAUUAAUAAUAGGACCAGUUCUAGGCUGUAGCCCGGAAGAGCCUUGGGAUUUCUUUGUCCUUUGGGAGGAGGUGAGUUUCUUGGUAAAUGCUGCAGAAACUGCUUGAGAAGUUGCACCAUGCUAUUGUGCAAAAGAACUUCCAAAAAUUUCUCACUUCUUCAUGGAAUAGACUUUGUCUGGAGUUGGGUGGGAGUGAAGCCAAGCAGAUAAUGACAAAAGAUAAUAAAAAGGGGAACAGAAUAUGUUUAUUAGUUAUUUGUUGCUACAUAACCAAUCACUCCCAAGCCUAGCAGCUUAUAACAACAAAUAUUUAUCGUCGCAUGUGGUUCUGAGGGUCAGGAAUCUGAGAGUUACUCAGACACUGGGUGGUUUUGUCUUAGCACCUCUCAUGAAUUUGCAGUCAAGACAUCGGCCGGGGUUGCAGGCAUUUGAAGGCUUGACCGGGGCUAGAGCUCUGCUUCCAAGAAAAUCGUCGAGCCGCUAUUAUGUGCUUGGCAGUGUGAGGCACUGGCAAUAAAAGAAAUGAUUAUGCCAUGAUGACCGUCCUCCGGGAGAUCACAGUAUUCCACAGAAAGACACUGGAGGAGGGACGCUAAACCAGGCUGCCUUCUCAGGACAUGACCAAGAUUUUGGAUCUAGGGGGAGUAUUCAGCUGCUCCUGGAAUUAAAACCAUCUCCCCAGACGAAAGCCAAGGGUACCCUUCACCAUGACCUCCCACUGCUUGGUGUUACAUGGAAAUGUGGUCACCAGGCCCUGCUCAAGCACUGGUGACUUGGGGACACUGUGGAAGCCACUUUUCAGAAUGUGCACAGAGCCUGGAGUCCCAUCUUUGGGGAGAAUGGUCAGCUCAGGACUGGGUGCUCCAGGCUGAGAACCAAACUCCUGCAACACCACGUGAAGUCCAAAAACAUUGCUAGUAAAAUGCCAUCCGGAAAUCAAUUUUUAACCCACUCAUUCUGGGCACCUGAUCUCUGAAGGCCUUAGAGUUCUCUCUGGAAGGCAAGUAGCAAGUCAGUGGUAAGAUGUCCUGUUAGGGGCUCUAAUCAAUCCCAGUAAUCUUGCCUCUCUGAGAGCCAGCUCUGGGCCUAGGGCUUGCUCCAUAGCAGACUUUGGAUCGCAGGGCAUGGGGGAAGCAUUGCUGCUGGAGACUGGAAAUAUGUGCAAGAAGCAGCCUGCAAGGAUGUGCAACUGCACCCACAGCUCCUGGGAAGGUCCCCACUGGAGAGGCUGGGCCCUCCUGCAAGCUGUGGGCCCCGACUUUACCUUCCCAUGGCAGAGCGUUUGAUGAAAGGCUGCUCGUCCACUGCACUAAACCAGGACUCUGAGAUCCACAAGCCCCUUCCCAAACAGCACUGCACACCUGGGACAAGGGAGAACACGGAAUAGCCAAAGAUUUCCUCUCUGCUUUGAAAUCGGGCCUUUUUGCUCUUGCUGUUUCUGAAACAGAAUGGAGAGAAGGCUGCAUCUUAAGCUGCCCAGUCUAUGGCAUUUUGUUACGGCAGCCCAAGCAGGCUAAGACGAUUGUCAAUUCUCUUUUUCUUUUCGGCCUCUAUGUCUUUGUCACUUCAUGCUGAGACUGGACCAUGAGGCUGCUGGGCUUUUACACAGGUUACUGGUGGAGCCUGCAGAAAGCACAGGCUCCAGGCUGCCCUCCUGACCGGACCCUCAGCAUAAGGACAGUCUCCACCCUGGCAAACCAGAAGGGCCCUGGCAGGAACCAGAAUCACACAGAAACCCAGAGAGGCAGAAGUGACUGGCCUCAGAUCACAGGGGGACCACAGCCCUGGGGCUGCACAGAGGGGCUGGCUGUGAGCUUGGAACCGUAAGGCACCAGGCUCCCAGGCAGAGGACCCUGUAAUUAGCUCGUCAAACAACUGACUGGAGGAGAACGCUUUGAAAAAAAUCCAGCAGUGAGCAGAGAAUUCGAGGGUUCAGACUCUGGUGCCCUUCUGCCCGGGCUGAGUCCCUGCUCCACUGCUUACACACUGCGGGGCUCAGGAGAGUUAUUUCAAGAUCUUCAAGCCUCAGUUUCCUCUUGUGUAACAUGGGGUAAUACCGGCACCACCUUCUGGAAUUGUGAGGAUCAAACGAGCUGGAACAUGCAGAGCAUUCAGCAUGGUGCCUGGCACGGGGACAUGCUCUUUGCUGCAUCUUCCCCAGCAAAACACACCUCCAGGACAGACCCUGAGCCCAGCGCACUGAGGUAAGUUUCCCUUCUGGGGGGGUUGUCCUCUACCUGGAGCAAAAGCCGAUGAAGCCCAGAGCAAAGCUCAUUAGUCACAUCUCCAGCGCAGGCUGGCAGGUGGGUGUCGGGGGCAUGUGAGGUGACAGCCUUCCUGGAACUCAUGAAUUUGUGUGUCAUCAUCAUCACCAUCACCACCCCAAAAUAGCAGCACCUGGUCUUUGCAGAGCACUGUGCUUCAGGUGGAGGGAGGAGAUUCCUGCUUCUGUAUCUCCCGUCCCCUCCAGCCCCAGAGAACGUCAGCCCUCUGUUGAAGCUCUAACCCCCGGUAUCUCAGAAUGUGACUGUAUUUGGAGAUUGGGGCCUUUAAAGAAGAGGUGAUUAAGUUAAAACAUAGUUGCUAGGGUGGGGUCCGAAUCCAAUCUGACUGGUGUCCUUACAAGAAGAGGAGGUUAGGACACAGAGAGAUACUAUGGUCAGGUGCACAAAGGAAAGACAAUGUGAAGAGGCAGGGUGAAGACAGCCAUCUGCAACUCAAAGAGAGAGAGACCUCAGCAGACACCAACCCUGUAGGCACACUGAUCUCAGACUUCCAGCCUCCAGACUGUGAGAAAAUAAACUUCUGUUGUUUAAGCUCCCCAGUCUGUGGCAUUUUGUUAUGGAAGCCCUAGCAAACAAGUACACACGCCAACAAAGUUUGUCCCCUGAUUAUCCCAGCUACAUAAGUUACUGACUUUACAUUGUUGCGGUGGAUGCCAGGGAGCUCAGAGCAAAAUGACCAGUUAUAGUGACCAUAUUGCCUGGAGUGAGUCUACAUAUUUUGGGGAUAUGCUCUCUGCCCAGUAAAACCAGCUGAGCAACAUCCAGGAGUGAAGGGGUGCAAAGAGGCUGCUGUGGCUUGGGAUUAUCUCAACUGAGAAUUGGUUGGGCCAUAACCCAGCACUCCUUUUAGCCCAACCUGACCUGCUUCAUUCUCCUGACCUGGGGAAAGGUGUCUAUAGACCCAGUACAGAGCUCCAGUCUCAGCCCACCCUGGUACACAUGCCGAUACCUGGCCGACUUAAUCAGUAACCCAAAUCGGAGAGUUUGGUCUGGAAGCCCCACACAGAAGCAUUCUUGCACCCACUACUGAAGGAAAUCCCUGGGGAGGGGGCAUGUCUGCUCCACAUUCCAACCCAACAGCAUGGCUGUCGGGCAUAAUUCACACAGGCUCAAACGGGGUAAGAAGUUGCUGCCUCCUGUGCUCCCGGGGUGAUUCCAGGGGUGCUGAGAAGGGUUUGGCAUCUUCCUCCAUCCUUCUGCACCCCCGGCUACCUUCCCACAUUCCCACAGGGCUUCAAUUGUAUAGAUGAAGCCUGGGGUGCUCUCACUGAAUAGAAAAUAUCCCCAGGAGGGGCCACAUUCUCAAAUCUCCCCACUGCCAACAUGCAUGUGCGGAUGGCAGAGCUGAGGGAAGAGCCUGCGCCCGCACCGCCAUGCUUCCCACCCAGCAGCAGGUGGAGGACACUUCUUAGCCUGACCAUGACUCCAUCUCCUUCUGUAUUAGCAGGGAACCCUCCAUGGUGGGACUUUGGUGGAAGGUGACUUUCGAAGCUAAAGUACCAAGACGAUCCUUCCUCACCUGCCCUCCCAGCCCAGCAGGGUAUGGGCCAGUGACUUGGGCUUGGGCUCCAGGACACUCCUACAUGGAGCUUGGACUUGUGGUAAGUGACAAGGUCAUGAAGGGAUGGCUGGAGUCCGUGCACAGAGAUGGCAGUUGACUGUUCCAGAAGCUCGUCGGCAGCAGCAUCCUAAUUGGCCCGUUUCAGUGGCGUGCCCUUGGGCAUGGUUCCUGCUCAGAAGCUCCCUGUGCUCCUGGCCGUGUUCCCAGCUUGGUUCUGCAGCCUGGCCACCAACGCCCUCGUAGUAGAGGCCCUUUCUGCUGAGUCAGCCCAGGUGGCUUGCGUUGCCUCCCCCCAGGCUCUAGGUAUUGGUCUGGCGCCCCAGAGAGGAGCUGGGCUAGACCCUGAGGAAGCCAACAUGUUCUGAAAAGGCACUUGCCACAUUGGAGCCCUUUGCAUGGUCCUUAGGCAGUAGACGAGGGCUCUAUCUUCCAACAAGUGGGAGCAAAACCCUAGGGAACCCCAGAGGCUUGCAAGGAGCUCUGGGGGUUCAGGGUUCUCAAGACCAAAUAUCAGCACCCCAAGUGUCAGGGCCUCAGUCCUCCCUAGCUGGCCCUGGCCAUUGCUGGCCUGCUCGGGAGGAGAGGGGUUAGUACUGAAAAAGCUACAGGACCUAGCUGACGCGUACCAGCCUGGCAGCCGGUGCUGAGGGUGCUGAGCCAAGGGCAGGCAAGGAGUGUGCCAGAUAAGAGCGAUUUGUGAACAUGAGGGCAUUCAACUGCAGCACAGGCUUAACACCCAGCAAGGGGCCCUGGGGUGAUUCUGAUAUGCCUAUGGGAUGGCUCUUGGAAGCUUGGGAAAAACAAUGGCCCGCUUUUUAAAGGAAAAGGCAACAGAGAAGUGAACUUCCAAGGCUGACUGUGGAAGAAGAAACCGAAAGGCUUAGCAGCGCAGCUGCAAGAACCAGCCUGCUCUAGGAGGCCGGAGAACCCACAACCUGCCUGUGGUCCUCCGGGGGGCUGAGGGACACUUGCCACAGUGGUAAGGAGUUCACUGGCCAGGCAGCAGCACUUCACUGCAGCACUUGCUUCUUCCAGGUGGGUGUAAUUACUGUGAUGUAACGGGCCCCGAGUCAGGAGGAGGGGACAGUGCGAGUGUUCUUUCAGAGAUAACACAGAACAGAGAUGGCGGGUAGAAUAAGGUGUCCCUAGGGACAAAAUAGAUGGGCAACCAUGUAGGGCACUGCUUAAUAUAUACAAUUAAAAGGGUCAAUAAUGGAUUAACCCACAUGGCCAUCAGUGGAUGAGUGGAUAAACAAAAUGUAGCAUAUCCACACCAUGGAACAUUGUUCGGCCAUAAAAUGAAAUACUAUACAUGCUACAACAUGGAUGAACUUUGAAAACAUCAUGCUAAGUGAAAGAAUGCAGACACACAAGGACACAUAUCGUAUGACUCCAUUUGUAUGAAAUGUCCAGUAUUCUGGCAAAUCCAUACCCAGAGAAAUAGACUUGUGGUUGCCAGGGGAUGGUGAAGGGGGUCCAUUGAGCCUGACUGCUAACAGGUACAGGGGUUCUUUUUUGGAGUGAUGGAAAUGUCCUGGAAUUCAUGGUGAUGGUUACACAACCUUGUGAAUAUACUAAAAUCACCGGAUU